GAUGAACGCUGGCGGCGUGCCUAAUACAUGCAAGUCGAGCGAACAGAUGAGGAGCUUGCUCCUCUGACGUUAGCGGCGGACGGGUGAGUAACACGUGGAUAACCUACCUAUAAGACUGGGAUAACUUCGGGAAACCGGAGCUAAUACCGGAUAAUAUAUUGAACCGCAUGGUUCAAUAGUGAAAGACGGUUUUGCUGUCACUUAUAGAUGGAUCCGCGCCGCAUUAGCUAGUUGGUAAGGUAACGGCUUACCAAGGCGACGAUGCGUAGCCGACCUGAGAGGGUGACCGGCCACACUGGAACUGAGACACGGUCCAGACUCCUACGGGAGGCAGCAGUAGGGAAUCUUCCGCAAUGGGCGAAAGCCUGACGGAGCAACGCCGCGUGAGUGAUGAAGGUCUUCGGAUCGUAAAACUCUGUUAUUAGGGAAGAACAAAUGUGUAAGUAACUAUGCACGUCUUGACGGUACCUAAUCAGAAAGCCACGGCUAACUACGUG
rnacentral:rRNA from 1 species